rnacentral:rRNA from 1 species
GAUGAACGCUGGCGGCGUGCCUAAUACAUGCAAGUCGAGCGAACAGACGAGGAGCUUGCUCCUCUGACGUUAGCGGCGGACGGGUGAGUAGCACGUGGAUAACCUACCUAUAAGACUGGGAUAACUUCGGGAAACCGGAGCUAAUACCGGAUAAUAUAUUGAACCGCAUGGUUCAAUAGUGAAAGACGGUUUUGCUGUCACUUAUAGAUGGAUCCGCGCCGCAUUAGCUAGUUGGUAAGGUAACGGCUUACCAAGGCAACGAUGCGUAGCCGACCUGAGAGGGUGAUCGGCCACACUGGAACUGAGACACGGUCCAGACUCCUACGGGAGGCAGCAGUAGGGAAUCUUCCGCAAUGGGCGAAAGCCUGACGGAGCAACGCCGCGUGAGUGAUGAAGGUCUUCGGACCGUAAAACUCUGUUAUUAGGGAAGAACAAAUGUGUAAGUAACUAUGCACGUCUUGACGGUACCUAAUCAGAAAGCCACGGCUAACUACGUG